AAAGCAAUAUUUGGUCCAGCCUGCUCCUUGCAUGUGACCAGAAUUUGGUCUCAUUGAUUCCCUCCUGUGAAGCCUCUCUGCUGUAACAUUAAUAAUAAGAAAGUAAUAU